GGGGAUCGCCGAGCAGAGAAUCUAAGUAAUUUGUCAUGGCUUUGGCAGCGGAUGCUGUACCUAAAUAAAUAAUAAUAGAAGCAAGUAAAAUAUCAAGUCAGCAAAGUUGCCGUACUCACCUAUCGUGUGCUCAAUAAACAUGUUCCAACCAAUAAUAAAAGCGAUAAAUUCCCCGACGGCCACAUAACUGUAUAUGUACGCAGAUCCAGCUUUGGGUACACGGCCCGCGAACUCUGCGUAACA